AUGAACGCUAGCUACAGGCUUAACACAUGCAAGUCGAGGGGCAGCAUGGUCUUAGCUUGCUAAGACUGAUGGCGACCGGCGCACGGGUGAGUAACACGUAUCCAACCUGCCGUCUACUCUUGGACAGCCUUCUGAAAGGAAGAUUAAUACAAGAUGGCAUCAUGAGUCCGCAUGUUCACAUGAUUAAAGGUAUUCCGGUAGACGAUGGGGAUGCGUUCCAUUAGAUAGUAGGCGGGGUAACGGCCCACCUAGUCUUCGAUGGAUAGGGGUUCUGAGAGGAAGGUCCCCCACAUUGGAACUGAGACACGGUCCAAACUCCUACGGGAGGCAGCAGUGAGGAAUAUUGGUCAAUGGGCGAGAGCCUGAACCAGCCAAGUAGCGUGAAGGAUGACUGCCCUAUGGGUUGUAAACUUCUUUUAUAAAGGAAUAAAGUCGGGUAUGCAUACCCGUUUGCAUGUACUUUAUGAAUAAGGAUCGGCUAACUCCGUGCCAGCAGCCGCGGUAAUACGGAGGAUCCGAGCGUUAUCCGGAUUUAUUGGGUUUAAAGGGAGCGUAGAUGGAUGUUUAAGUCAGUUGUGAAAGUUUGCGGCUCAACCGUAAAAUUGCAGUUGAUACUGGAUAUCUUGAGUGCAGUUGAGGCAGGCGGAAUUCGUGGUGUAGCGGUGAAAUGCUUAGAUAUCACGAAGAACUCCGAUUGCGAAGGCAGCCUGCUAAGCUGCAACUGACAUUGAGGCUCGAAAGUGUGGGUAUCAAACAGGAUUAGAUACCCUGGUAGUCCACACGGUAAACGAUGAAUACUCGCUGUUUGCGAUAUACAGCAAGCGGCCAAGCGAAAGCGUUAAGUAUUCCACCUGGUGAUUACGCCGGCAACGGUGAAACUCAAAGGAAUUGACGGGGGCCCGCACAAGCGGAGGAACAUGUGGUUUAAUUCGAUGAUACGCGAGGAACCUUACCCGGGCUUAAAUUGCAGAUGAAUUACGGUGAAAGCCGUAAGCCGCAAGGCAUCUGUGAAGGUGCUGCAUGGUUGUCGUCAGCUCGUGCCGUGAGGUGUCGGCUUAAGUGCCAUAACGAGCGCAACCCUUGUUGUCAGUUACUAACAGGUCAUGCUGAGGACUCUGACAAGACUGCCAUCGUAAGAUGUGAGGAAGGUGGGGAUGACGUCAAAUCAGCACGGCCCUUACGUCCGGGGCUACACACGUGUUACAAUGGGGGGGUACAGAGGGCCGCUACCACGCGAGUGGAUGCCAAUCCCCAAAACCUCUCUCAGUUCGGACUGGAGUCUGCAACCCGACUCCACGAAGCUGGAUUCGCUAGUAAUCGCGCAUCAGCCACGGCGCGGUGAAUACGUUCCCGGGCCUUGUACACACCGCCCGUCAAGCCAUGGGAGCCGGGGGUACCUGAAGUGCGUAACCGCGAGGAGCGCCCUAGGGUAAAACUGGUGACUGGGGCU
rnacentral:rRNA from 1 species